rnacentral:siRNA from 1 species
AGUGCUGAUGUUGAUGUUCCAACA